AACGCACAUUGCGCCCUCUGGUAUUCCGGAGGGCAUGCCUGUUCGAGCGUCAUUUCAACCCUCAAGCCUGGCUUGGUGAUGGGGCACUGCCUUCUAGCGAGGGCAGGCCCCGAAAUCUAGUGGCGAGCUCGCCAGGACCCCGAGCGUAGUAGUUAAUACCCUCGCUCUGGAAGGCCCUGGCGGUGCACUGCCGUUAAACCCCCAACUUCUGAAAAUUUGACCUCGGAUCAGGUAGGAAUACCCGCUGAACUUAA
rnacentral:misc_RNA from 1 species